AAAGUUCACAGAGUUAUGAUGAUGAUCCUACGUCCCUACUUCCUAGCCAUGAACAUUGACGUUUGUUUGGAGGCGGUGGCAGUGUGUCACGCUUGUCAACUGUCAAGCCAAGCGAGAAAGAGAUAGAGGGUUGUGUGGUCUCCAUAAAAGUUACAGUUCCCUUGUUCUAUUUAUUUUCUCAGUUUUCAUUAACCCAUUUUGCCGGUUGUUUUUCUUGUUUCAAAACCCACAUAAUCAAUCAAAAACAACCAAUUUGUUCAUUGAAAAAAAAAAAGAAUUUAGAUUUUUCUUUCGAGUAGGCGAAGAUAGUUUAAAUUGAUUGGAAGGGGAGUCUUUGAUGCCGUUAUUCUGUGCAAGCCACGCAAUACAACUCCCACAUAAUAAUUUGGUAGUGAGAAGAAAGAAUCUCACAUCCAAGCAUGUAGGCGCUCUGCUAUUCUCCAGUAGUAAAUGCUGCCUAGCCGCCUCUUCCAGCAAGGUGGGUAUCUCAGAAAACACUGCUUCUCUUUCUGGUUUUCAUCGAACUUCUCCAUCGAUCAUGGAGGACGAAAAGUUGGGGAUUAUAUCCUCUGAAACAGAGGAAUAUUCAACAGAAUUGGAUGUUGCUGUUAGAAUCGUCCAAAUGGCUUGCUUUCUCUGUCAGAGGGUGCAGCAGAGCUUGAUUUCCAAGGGCAAUAAUCAGGUUAAAUCCAAAGAUGAUAGUUCUCCGGUCACAGUUGCAGAUUGGAGCGUCCAAGCAACUGUUAGUUGGAUGCUGUCCAAGUGCUUUGGGAGCAACAAUGUGCUAAUCAUUGCAGAAGAAGACGUUCAAGCUCUUUCCAGGGAUGAUGCUGUAGGCCUAUUGGAAUCUGUAGUGAACACUGUGAACGAGUGCCUAGCUGAAGCUCCCAUGUUUGGUCUUAGAGGUCCAGUUAGGUCACUUGGAACUUCAGAAGUUCUUGAGGCUAUCAGCCGAUGCAACUCAACAGGGGGUCCAACUGGAAGAUAUUGGGUGCUAGACCCUGUUGAUGGUACAUUGGGAUUUGUACGGGGUGAUCAAUAUGCAGUGGCUUUAGCAUUAAUAGAGGAUGGAGAAGUUGUAGUUGGAGUUGUUGGGUGCCCCAACUACCCAAUGAAGAAGGAGUGGCUAAAUUAUCAACAUCGCUAUUACAGGAUUGUGUCCAAGUUGUCCUCAUCAGCAUCUGAAUCUUGGGACAAAGGUUGUGUGAUGUAUGCAAAGAGGGGUAGUAGAAAGGCAUGGAUGCAACCAUUGAUCUAUGAAAAUAAGAAGCCUACUUCAAGGAUAAUUCGUGUUUCCUCCAUUGAUGACCCAGCACUAGCAACAUUCUGUGAACCUGUUGAAAAGGCCAACUCAUCCCACUCCUUCACAGCGGGGCUAGCUCACAGUGUUGGCCUUAGAAAUCAGCCAUUGCGUGUCUACAGCAUGGUGAAAUAUGCAGCCAUAGCUCGGGGGGAUGCUGAGAUUUUUAUGAAGUUUGCAAAGGCUGGAUACAAGGAAAAGAUAUGGGACCAUGCACCUGGUGUACUGAUCAUACAAGAGGCUGGUGGUGUGGUGACAGAUGCUGGAGGGCGUCAAUUGGAUUUUUCGAAGGGAAUUUACCUAGAAGGCCUUGAUCGAGGAAUAAUUGCUUGUUCUGGAGCCAGAUUGCAUGAAAAAAUCAUCAAGGCUGUUGAUGCUAGCUGGAACUCCUCUAAUCUAUGAUGUUCUUUUCUGUAUAUUAUCAAUGCAUCAGGAUGGAGAAUGUUACCUGUAUCAGUUGGUAUGGUAAGAGCUUUGUAACAGUAGGGCAAGGAAACUAACGAAGAGGGAUGCCGAUGAAGCUCGGUAACAUAUAUUUAUGAUUCACACCAUUACAAAAUGUGAUAUGAAGAUGACCCACUAGAAUGAUUUUUGAAGGUGGUGGGCUGUUGUGGCAGGCUUGGUUCUUCUUUUAUGAACAAAGUAUAUUGCUUCUUGGACGUGGUCCACUAAUUCAUGCGAAUAUCAUGUUGCUGAGUCAAUAGAUUCCUGUGAAUAGCAUAGUUCCCACUUGACAUUAUGUUCCGAUGGAUUAUUAGCAUAAUGUACAUCAUACUUGUAUGAAUAUGGAAAUAAUACGCUGGACAUAAUGAUUACUGAAUGCACAUCUCAUAGGUGAUUCACAGUGUUUGUGAUCAA